UGCAUGGCCGUCGUCAGUUCGUACUGUGAAGCAUCCUGUUAAGUCAGGCAACGAGCGAGACCCACGCCCACAGUUGCCAGCGUACUCUCUGGAGUGACGGGGUACACUGUGGGGACCGCCGCUGCUAAAGCGGAGGAAGGAAUGGGCAACGGUAGGUCAGUAUGCCCCGAAUAUCCCGGGCUACACGCGAGCUACAAUGGUUGGUACAAUGGGUAUCUACCCCGAAAGGGGACGGGAAUCUCCUAAAACCAAUCUUAGUUCGGAUUGAGGGCUGCAACUCGCCCUCAUGAAGCUGGAAUCCGUAGUAAUCGCGUUUCAACAGAACGCGGUGAAUACGUCCCUGCUCCUU
rnacentral:rRNA from 1 species